UCCUAGAUUACCUUGUUCAUGAUGCUGAGGACGAUGGAGUAGACAAAGCCAAUUCCAGCCACAGCCACCAGACACAGCAGGAAGAGGCACUGUCAGCCUCCUCCCCCCUCUCACCUGACACUGGGUUUGGGAGGUGGGUCUUUGUCACGGGAACGCUCUCACCUGAUGCGGGGUAGACUGAUAUUAGGACUGGCUGCUGUGAGAAUUACAGGUGCCGCUGACCAACACGGCGUCACAUGGCAUAAUGGUCCCAUUGCUGGGGAUGACCAUCACAUCACCGGGCACCAAAUCAGUAGACAAAGUCUCUUCGAUUUCUUCCAGGAAGUGGGGUACAAUGGAGUAGUGGAGAAGGCCUACAUUGUCCCACCCCAGCAGUGAUCUGGAGGACACCCAAAGCAGAGUGACUGUGUAAUUGUGUCUGGUCCAGCAAAGAAGCAGAGAACUACUACUGUCAGGAAUGGUUUGGAAUGCGCUCUUGGAAAUAAAAUGAUACAUGCUGUGUACUACUAUUAAAAUAACUAUACAGAGGCCAUCUGCAAGAAGAAAAUAAAAACACAAAAACAAAAAAUAUAUAGACAAACCAUUGUUGGCUCGGCAUACGGUCACACGGACAAUACUGUGAGCUGCCACCAUAUCGUGAAGCAUGAUGUAUUGCUGGAAAAAAGAAAAAGAAAUCCGAUUAAAACCUCUAGAUAACUUCUUUACUCUGAGGGUAUUUUUGUCUGAUGUUGGGAACUAUGAUGCCAGGGGCAGCAGACCGUGUGCAGAUGAGCCUUUGCUACGCUUUGCUACGCUAUCCUGAAAAACCCUGGAUUAGAAACGGGCGGUUCGGCGAGUGUGUCCGAUAUGGCUCACACCUGGCCAUGAACUGGGGUUAUACCGGGUACAUUACAAAUGCUACAAUGUGCUUAGACACGCUUCAGUAAGGUUACUGAGAAUUUACAGUUGUGUAUU